rnacentral:rRNA from 1 species
AUUGAACGCUGGCGGCAUGCUUUACACAUGCAAGUCGAACGGUAACAGGCCUUCGGGUGCUGACGAGUGGCGAACGGGUGAGUAAUGCAUCGGAACGUGCCCAGAGGUGGGGGAUAACGCAGCGAAAGCUGUGCUCAUACCGCAUGUGAUCUGAGGAUGAAAGCGGGGGACCAGGCAGCAAUGUUUGGCCUCGCGCCUUUGGAGCGGCCGAUGUCAGAUUAGGUAGUUGGUGGGGUAAAGGCCUACCAAGCCGACGAUCCGUAGCCGGUCUGAGAGGACGAUCAGCCACACUGGGACUGAGACACGGCCCAGACUCCUACGGGAGGCAGCAGUGGGGAAUUUUGGACAAUGGGCGCAAGCCUGAUCCAGCAAUGCCGCGUGCGGGAAGAAGGCCUUCGGGUUGUAAACCGCUUUUGUACGGAACGAAAAGGCUCUGGCUAAUACCUGGGGCUGAUGACGGUACCGUAAGAAUAAGCACCGGCUAACUACGUG